rnacentral:rRNA from 1 species
CUUCCGCAAUGGACGAAAUUCUGACGGAGCAACGCCGCGUGGGUGAUGAAGUUUUUCGGAUCGUAAAACAGGGUGGUAAGGGAAGACCAGUUACCGUAGUCACGCCCGGUACCUUGCCGUUACUUGACGACAAACCCACGUCUAACUACGUGCCAGCAGCCGCGGUAAUACGUAGGUGGCAAGCGUUGUCCGGAUUUAUUGGGCGUAAAGCGCGCGCAGGCGGUCUUUUAAGUCUGAUGUGAAAUCUUACAGCUUAACUGUAAGCGGUCAUUGGAAACUGGGAGACUUGAGUGCAGAAGAGGAGAGUGGAAUUCCAUGUGUAGCGGUGAAAUGCGUAGAGAUAUGGAGGAACACCAGUGGCGAAGGCGACUCUCUGGUCUGUAACUGACGCUGAGGCGCGAAAGCGUGGGGAUCAAACA